AGACAGGAAGAGAGUAAGAAAGGAAGGAAUAGAGAAAGAGGAAGAUAGUUAUGGGAACUCACCUGCGUUUCCCCCUCUUCAUCCCUUACUUCCUCCCUCCCUCCCAAAUCACAUGGCUACUUCUGAGAUGCUAACGUGUCAAUUUUGUCUUCACUUCUCCCUGGCUCCCGCAGUACACGGUUCUAUCCAUGCCCGGCCAUAGCACUCAAAGGGUUAAGGUCCAGAAUGUCCAGAAAUACAUUACUGGCAGGAUUGGUAUCAGUGAAAUGGGAUUAAUGCAUGAAUUAAUGGCGUGAAUUUACUUCGUUGUGAUAUAGGUACUGGAUAAAAUGACACUUGUACAGUUCUGCGUCUUAUUCUCAGCUUACCAAGAUUAGCUUUAAAUUCAUGAAUAUUUUUGGCUUGAACUACAUAUUUCAUUUUUGAGGUUAUUUAUAUUCAUUCAACUUUUCCUUGAGACUUUGCACACUCUUCGCCGAUACUAUUUCUUCAAUUAAUCAGUUCCAAAGCUCUAUAUUUCUUUGUGGGAAGCUAUAUUUCUUUAUGUCUCUUGAGCAUCUUCCCUUCCUUAACUUUUUACUAUGUCGUCAAGUAUUCCUCUCUUAGUAGCAAUUUCUCGUUAUCUACUUCUUCCAUUUUACUCAAUAGCCAAUAUGUUUGUAUUAGGUCUCCUCUUUCUCUUCUUUGUUCUAGUGUUGGCAAGUCCAUGUGUGUGUGUGUGUGUGUGUAAACUUCUUUUUAAAAGCAUUAAUUUUCCACCCUAAUGUGAUAAGGUAAUAAUUUAAAGAAUGAAAGCAACGGGAUAAGGGAAAAGAAGUUGGCAGCAAAGCUAAGAAUGGACAACUUAGGAGAAGGCAGGAUAGGUUGAGAGGCCAAGUGUAAACAUGAAAUGGAAAAACAGAGACACGAGGGUUAACAGUGGAAGGCUGGAAGGUGUGGUUUGGAGAGCAGAAUGAGUGAACACCAAUUACACAUUUCAUCACGUCAAUACCACUAUCCUUUGUCUAAUGUCUUCUACUUCAUCUUUUUCCUCCUCCUCCUCCUCCCUCAAUCCUUUUUUCUGCUUCAUCUACUCCUUACUUCCACUUCCAUUAUCCCCUCCAGCCAUUUUUCCUAUCCACUUUCUACUUCAUCCACUCCGUCUCCACCUAAUUCCUUCCACUUCACCCACUUUUUCUCUACAUCACCCACUAUCUCCUUCCUCCCAUGCCACCCUAUCUUCAUCUUUUUCCUCCUCCUCCUCCUCCUCCUCCUCCCUCAUUCCACUUCUUAUAUCCACUCCAUCCAUUUCCUCCUCCUACUCUCUCCACAAAGCUUACAUUUUUCAUCUAUUUCUUAUCUUUACUUUUAUUAUUUGUAUUAUUUGGCCAGUGGUGAUGCAGUGAAAUUAGUUACACUACAUUUUGAAAGCAGUAAGGCUCAUUGACCUCAUGUGACUUCUUUCAUGAUGGGCGUUUCUCCUUUUUCUUGAAUCCCACUUAACCCGGUAGCAGCAGGGAUCAUGUUUCUUAAUGGUCCCUCCAAGCAAGAAAAAUGAGUAAAAAUCACCCCUCACACAAACCAUUUCUUAAUAUAUAUCAAAGCAUUUGUGAUCAGUUUAUGUAUCAACUAUUUUUAGGGGUUAAAAUCAUGGGACAAAUUUGGCCCGUCGCUGCUACACGGUAAAGCCACAAAUUUGGCCCGUCGCUGCUACACGGUAAAGCCACAAAUUUGGCUUGUCGCUGCUACACGGUAAAGCUACAAAUUUGGCCCGUCGCUGCUACCGGGUUAAGAUACUGAGGCUGUAUUUGACUACCUGCCCUGAUGAUGAUGAUGAUGGGGGUAAGGUCACUUCACAACACACUGAGCUAGUCUGAGUGAUCGGGUGGCAGCUUUCUGGAGCUUUUUGUCUCCUAAGCAUCACUAUUAUCACUCCUUAAAAAAAAUAUAAAACCAAUGUAAAAUAAAAAUACAAAGUCAUCUAUUCUUUGUGAGCACGCCACAAGGUAUCCUCAUGACAUAGGAAGCAACACAACAUAAUUCUCGCUCAAGAUUUUCUCAGCACUGUGAUUCUCUUUUCUGUUUGCACAAGGGAACACUGUUUGCCAUUUUUUCACUGGGUGUUCACAUCCUUCGCAGAGGUUAACAAGCACUGAAACAAACGCCCUUGUAAAAUUAUUUUAUGUAAAAUUUGUCAAUAAUAAAAAUGUUCACAUCCUCCAAGUUAUAUCCUAAAAUACUGCCAGAAAGUCACGGUCAACCCGCUGCUUCUGAGUGUGUGACCUUACAAAAAAAAAAUAUAAAUAAACAACAAAAUGUGAGGAAAAAACACAAAACUUACAUAUCAUACAAACUUUACAAUGAUACAAACAAAAGGAGAUACAAACCUGCCUGCUGGGGACCAAGGCAAUACCCACAGGCCUGUAACGUACAGUAGAAAAAUCACUUUGUCAACAUAUAAGCGGCGGCUGCAUCCAGGAAUAUUGCAUGAGGUGGAUGUGACGGUGGCGAGAGAGAGAGAGAGAGAGAGAGAGAGAGAGAGAGAGAGAGAGAGAGAGAGAGAGAGAGAGAGAGAGAGAGAGAGAGAGAGAGAGAGAGAGAGAGAGACAGAGAGA